UACGUAGGGGGCUAGCGUUGUCCGGAAUCAUUGGGCGUAAAGGGCUCGUAGGCGGUUUGUCGCGUCGGGAGUGAAAACCUUGGGCUUAACUCAGGGCUUGCUUUCGAUACGGGCAGACUAGAGGUAUGCAGGGGAGAACGGAAUUCCUGGUGUAGCGGUGAAAUGCGCAGAUAUCAGGAGGAACACCGGUGGCGAAGGCGGUUCUCUGGGCAUGAUCUGACGCUGAGGAGCGAAAGUGUGGGGAGCGAACAGG
rnacentral:rRNA from 1 species